UUAAUUGAAGCCAAAUUAAAGAGGCAUUCUAUUGUUACUAGAAUUAAUGAUUUUAAAUCCAAUUAAU
rnacentral:tRNA from 1 species